GUGAGGAAUAUUGCUCAAUGGACGAAAGUCUGACGCAGCGACGCCGCGUGUGCGGUGAAGGCCUUCGGGUCGUAAAGCCCUUUUCUGGGGGAAGAGAAAGGACGGUACCCCAGGAAUAAUCCCCGGCUAGCUACGUGCCAUCAGCCGCGGUAAAACGUAGGGGGCAAGCGUUAUCCGGAUAUACUGGGCGUAAAGAGCGUUGAGGCGGUUUUGUAAGUUGGGCUGUGAAAGCCCUGGGCUUAACUCAGGGAAGCCGUUCAAUACUGCGAAACUUGAGGGCAGCAGAGGGAGGUGGAAUUCCCGGAGUAGCGGUGAAAUGCGUAGAUAUCGGGAGGAACACCAGUGGCGAAGGCGGCCUCCUGGGCUGCUCCUGACGCUGAAGGCGAAAGCUAGGGGAGCAAACGGGAUUAGAAACCCCGGUAGUCCUAGCUGUAAACGAUGGAUGCUAGGUGUGGGGGGUGUAGAUUCCCUCCGUGCCGCAGUUAACGCGUUAAGCAUCCCGCCUGGGGAGUACGGCCGCAAGGCUAAAACUCAAACGAAUUGACGGGGGCCCGCACAAGCAGCGGAGACGUCUGGUUUAAUUCGACGCUACACGAUAGAACCUUACCUGGGCUUGACAUACAGGUAGUAGUGAAGUGAAAGCGGAUCGACCCUUCGGGGAGCCUGUACAGGUGCUGCAUGGCUGUCGUCAGCUCGUGCACGUGAGCUGUCGGGUUAAGUCCCGUAACGAGCGCAACCCUUGCUCUUAGUUAUACGUGUCUAAGAGGACUGCCGGCGGUAAGCCGGAGGAAGGUGGGGAUGACGUCAAGUCAGCAUGGCCUUUAUGUCCAGGGCUACUACACACGCUACAAUGGCCGGUACAAUGGGUAGCUAAACCGCGAGGUGGAGCCAAUCGAGUAAAGCCGGUCUCAGUUCGAAUUGCAGGCUGCAACUCGCCUGCAUGAAGUCGGAGUUGCUAGUAAUCGCAGGUCAGCAAUACUGCGGUGAUACGUUCCCGGGCCUUG
rnacentral:rRNA from 1 species